GUACUUACUUCAGCAGCACAUAGACUAAAAUUGGGUUGAUACAGAGAAUAUUAGUAUGACCCCUGAUCAAAGAUGACAUGCAAAUUGAUGAAACAUUCCAUUUUUUU